UCCGUUGUGGUCUAGGGGCUAGGAUUUGCCGCUCUCAUCGAGAGUCGUCACACUUGGUCAAGUGCCGGCAAGGCCCGGGUUCGAUUCCCGGCGACGGAA